UCCGAGUUGACCCCGGCAGUCUCCUAUGAGUCCCCGCCAUCACGCGCUGGCAACAUAGAACGAGGGUUGCGCUCGUUGCGGGACUUAACCCAACAUCUCACGACACGAGCUGACGACAACCAUGCACCACCUGUGCAGGACCCUUGCGGACCCCCCAUCUCUGGAGGAUUUCCCUGCAUGUCAAGCCUUGGUAAGGUGGGGAUGACGUUCGUCUGAC
rnacentral:misc_RNA from 1 species